CAGUAGCCACGGUAAUACGAAGGGGGCUAGCGUUGUUCGGAUUUACUGGGCGUAAAGGGCGCGUAGGCGGGCGAUUAAGUCAGAGGUGAAAUCCCAAGGCUCAACCUUGGAACUGCCUUUGAUACUGGUUGUCUUGAGUCCGGGAGAGGUGAGUGGAACUGCGAGUGUAGAGGUGAAAUUCGUAGAUAUUCGCAAGAACACCAGUGGCGAAGGCGGCUCACUGGCCCGGAACUGACGCUGAGGCGCGAAAGCGUGUGGAGCAAACAGGAUUAGAUACCCCUGUAGUCCCUGUCUCUUAUAC
rnacentral:rRNA from 1 species